rnacentral:rRNA from 1 species
CCUACGGGGGGCAGCAGUGGGGAAUAUUGCACAAUGGGGGAAACCCUGAUGCAGCCAUGCCGCGUGUGUGAAGAAGGCCUUAGGGUUGUAAAGCUCUUUCACCGGUGAAGAUAAUGACGGUAACCGGAGAAGAAGCCCCGGCUAACUUCGUGCCAGCAGCCGCGGUAAUACGAAGGGGGCUAGCGUUGUUCGGAAUUACUGGGCGUAAAGCGCGCGUAGGCGGAUAGAUAAGUCAGAGGUGAAAUCCCGGGGCUCAACCCCGGAAUUGCCUUUGAUACUGUUUAUCUUGAGUGCAGAAGAGGUAAGUGGAAUUCCGAGUGUAGAGGUGAAAUUCGUAGAUAUUCGGAGGAACACCAGUGGCGAAGGCGGCUUACUGUCUGCAACUGACGCUGAGGCGCGAAAGCGUGGGGAGCAAACAGGAUUAGAUACCCCUGUAGUC